rnacentral:lncRNA from 1 species
GUCAGCUUUCAGUGUAGUGAGAUUAUUCCUGUAGGUUAUGGGGUAUAAUUCAGGAUUUAACUAAUGUUUCUGCUAUUUUCUCACUUUUCCUUUUGAUGGUGCGGAAAGAGAAAAAGGAAAACGGGGCACAGGCCAUUCGACGCCUUCUCCAAGGGGUCUGAUUUGCUGAGACACCAGCUUCACCUUCUUAACAAGGCACCUAAUUACAACAAGCAUGCACAUUUUGGUGCAUUCAAGAAUGGAAAAUCAGAAUAGCAGCAUUGAUUCUUCUGGUGGGUUUUGCUCCAUUUAAAGACAUGAAAUGAACUACAGCCAGGAAGGUGAUAGAUGAUAUAAUAAGCCACCUCUGAACCUACACCCCGUCUCUUCACGGUUUAGACUUACUAAAAUAAAUACAAGGUGAUUUUCAUCUUCAGGUAGAGUGAAGCCUUUUAAUUAAGGCGUCACAGGUGCAGCUAUUCUACCUUAAUGAAAUGGGUAGUGAUUUUCCCACCAUUAUUUAUUUCGGUGAUAAUAUGCUGCAUAUUCAAGUCUCUUGUAGUUAUUUUCACCCAAAGUAGUUGACAAUUUGAUGCUUCUGGUGAUGUUUAUGGCUUCAUUUUAUGUAAUUUUUUAAGUAAGUUCCACUAGAAACAGUUCAUCUUAUACCUUCAAAACUGUUACCUGUUCUUUAAAAAACAAAGUUGCUUGUUACUUGUUCUUUGUGUUUUAGGUGCAGCUCAGUGGAAGAUGAUGACAACCAGAAGACAUGAGCUAAGGUUUCUGUCCUAUAAAAGAUUUAUUAAAAAACAAUCCUUCAUUUAUUUUUUGUCUAAUUUUUUAGUUUUCAGCAUUAUGAUUUGGGUUUUAUUGGUGUUUGGUAUUUAGAAUUAGUGCUGUUGUGGAGUGCGUCUGUAAAGUGCUUGUUUUAUCAUACUUC